rnacentral:rRNA from 1 species
CGCAAGCCUGACGGAGCCAGACCGCGUGGGGGAGGAAGGCCCUUGGGUUGUAAACCCCUUUUCUCAGGGAAGAAACCUGACGGUACCUGAGGAAAAAGCCUCGGCUAACUCCGUGCCAGCAGCCGCGGUAAUACGGAGGAGGCAAGCGUUAUCCGGAAUUACUGGGCGUAAAGCGUCCGUAGGGGGCUCGUCAAGUCUGCUGUCAAAGGUCGGAGCUCAACUCCGGUUCGGCAGUGGAAACUGGUGGGCUAGAGGGCGACAGGGGUAGAGGGAAUUCCCAGUGUAGCGGUGAAAUGCGUAGAGAUUGGGAAGAACACCAGAGGCGAAAGCGUUCUGCUGGGCCGCGCCUGACCCUGAGGGACGAAAGCCAGGGGAGCG